rnacentral:rRNA from 1 species
UACGUAGGUGGCAAGCGUUGUCCGGAUUUAUUGGGUUUAAAGGGUGCGUAGGCGGCUUUGUAAGUCAGUGGUGAAAUAUGGCAGCUCAACUGUCAGGGUGCCAUUGAUACUGCGGAGCUUGAGUACAGAUGAGGUAGGCGGAAUUGACGGUGUAGCGGUGAAAUGCUUAGAUAUCGUCAAGAACACCGAUAGCGAAGGCAGCUUACUAGGCUGUAACUGACGCUGAGGCACGAAAGUGUGGGGAUCAAACAGGA